ensembl:lincRNA Gm28271 predicted gene 28271
GUCAUUUUACCUCUGGGGAAUAAACACGUAUUAAAGGCACGGCUAGCGAUGUGAAAAAGUUCAUAGCUUAAGAGCUUGUACUUGAACUUCACUUAGGGAGGGAACCGUCUUUGAUCAGGAAAAUCUGUUAGAUGAAUCACCUGGGGUAAGGUGAGCGCCUGAAAGACAAGGACGACAGGGACUGCAGAGAUAAAGGAUGUGGAACAUUUCAGGAGCAUUUCCGGUGAGAAGAGGAAGUGGCAAUCGGAGAAAGAGGAGACAGGAUGGGAGCAAUCAAGAAAACCUGGAGCAGAGAGGAGUACUGAGCCAGAACAAGGUUGUAUGAGAAAUAGGCUUCUGAGUGUUUAUUAG